CCUAGGUAGUUUUCAGGAUUUCUAGUCAUUUGAUUAUUAGGUGUAAUAUGGAUCAACCGUUCAAUUUUAAAAUUGAGUUCAACUAGGUCAGAAUAAAAAAAUUAUACCAUGCAUAUACCAGUGCAAACCCUAAUAUGUGAUUGAGUUUUUUUUUUUUAUUUUUUUUAAGAAGAAGGAGAAAGAAAAAAGGAGAAAGAACGAAAGAAGUUCUAAAUGUGAGAUCCUUAAGAAAGCCUUAGACCUAAAGACA
rnacentral:lncRNA from 1 species